UCCUCCGUGGCGCAAUUGGCUAGCGCGUCUGACUGUUAUCUCUUCUCGAGAAAUGCGAUCAGGAGGUUCCUGGUUCAAGCCCAGGCGGGGGAG